GACGAACGCUGGCGGCGUGCUUAACACAUGCAAGUCGAACGGAAAGGCCCUGCUUUUGUGGGGUGCUCGAGUGGCGAACGGGUGAGUAACACGUGAGUAACCUGCCCUUGACUUUGGGAUAACUUCAGGAAACUGGGGCUAAUACCGGAUAGGAGCUCCUGCUGCAUGGUGGGGGUUGGAAAGUUUCGGCGGUUGGGGAUGGACUCGCGGCUUAUCAGCUUGUUGGUGGGGUAGUGGCUUACCAAGGCUUUGACGGGUAGCCGGCCUGAGAGGGUGACCGGCCACAUUGGGACUGAGAUACGGCCCAGACUCCUACGGGAGGCAGCAGGGGGGAAUAUUGCACAAUGGGCGGAAGCCUGAGGCAGCAACGCCGCGAGCGGGAUAACGGCCUUCGGGUUGUAAACCGCUUUCGCCUGUGACGAAGCGUGAGUGACGGUAAUGGGUAAAGAAGCACCGGCUAACUACGUG
rnacentral:rRNA from 1 species